rnacentral:rRNA from 1 species
UACAGAGGGUGCGAGCGUUAAUCGGAAUUACUGGGCGUAAAGGGUGUGUAGGUGGUUGUGUAAGUUAGAUGUGAAAUCCCUGGGCUUAACCUAGGAACUGCGUUUAAGACUGCAUAGCUAGAGUAUUGUAGAGGAUAGUGGAAUUUCCAGUGUAGCGGUGAAAUGCGUAGAUAUUGGAAGGAACACCAGUGGCGAAGGCGACUAUCUGGGCAAAUACUGACACUGAGACACGAAAGCGUGGGGAGCAAACAGG